GCAGUUGAGGGGAGGCAGCCCCUCGGCUCCCUUCCGUCCUCGGGGGCCCCGCUCUCUUAACCCAGGCCAGGCUGUGCAUAAACUCACCGUCUUCCAGAGACUCCGAUCAUGCCGUGAUGUGGGUGUUGUGAAAAGCAGGGCACUGCAGUGAAGCGUGCCUCGAAGACCCCCCCCACACGUCCUGCUUCACUGCCAAGCCAGCCUCACCGCCCCACGUGGGAACACCACAGGUCAUGUGCUGAUUUGCUUUGCGUAUAUCCACGUGGCACAAAAAGGUGUGCAGAAUCAAAACAGAAAACAGCAAAGGCAAAAAGGAAACACCCCGGAGGGUUGCAGCAGAUGGCGGGGUCUGCAGAACCAUGAGCAAAUGAAAUACUUCUUGGACGUAUGACAGUGAGGAGGCAGCAUCAGGGGACCAGGGGGAGGGGCCUGGGAGGCAGUCUUUGGUGGCCCGGAGUUUCCGCCUGUGGGACUGAAUGGAGACCCCGUGGCCUGGAGAUGGACAGGAAAGCAUCUUCUCUCUCUCCUACAGGAAUGGUCCUCUGAGGCCUGGCUCAUGCCCUUCCACCCUGGAAGCCUGCCUAAGCCCCGAGGACCUCUUCUUACCCCAUCCUAACCUCCUGUUUGGAGAGACCUCGGCAGCACCUCUGACAUCAUCCUCCUUCCAAACUGUGGGGACGCACGGAAUCUCUGUUGCCUCUGUCUGGGCACCCACUCCGGGGGGGGGGACCCCAUGGACUGCUUGCAUGCAACACCCAACUGUUUUAGCCAGGAUUUCUUCCCUGCAUCAGGCUGCUUUUCAUGCAAGAAACAGUCUUUUUUCCCUUUCUGUGACCCACUUAGUUAUCAAAGGCUUCAUUCCCUGGGGAGAUUCCAGGAAAGCGGCACCCCACUGCUCUGGGGCGGCCAGGAGAAGGCUCCAAGGGUCAAGGGCACUAUCUUGGUUACCAGGCCUGCUGGGUGCAUGUGUGCCUCCCUUCCCUCUCAGGUGCUCGCUUCUCGAAUUUCUAAAUGGGGUGAGUAGGGGGCUGGGGGCCGGCUGAGAUCAAUGCCUCAGCUCUGACAGUGAUGUAAGCUCUCUGCAGCCUCAAACCAGGCUUCACGGUGGCUCCUCCUCAUCCCACUUCACGGGUGGGAUGACUGAGGUGCUGAGACAUUAAGCCACGUGCCCAAGGUCACCCCACUAGUAGGUGGUGGACUGGCAUGCAAAGCAAACCAGGUGCUAUUGACCUGUCUGCACAGCACAUUUUAGGAGACCAGCUUCUCUUUCCUCUAUCCUGAGGUGCUGCUCAAAAGGACACAGAACUGGGGGACCCACAGCCUGAGCUCUGGCCUUCACCCAACCCCUUCAGACCUUGGCUAGGUUCUUCCAUUUCUGGGUGUGGUGGGCAGAAAAAUGUUCCCCACCUCCCUGAAAUGUCUGCGUCCAAAUCCCCAGAACCUGGGAACAGGCUCCCUUACAUGGCCAAAGGGACUUUGCAGAUGUGCUGAAAGAGCUUGAGAGGGGAGACGAGGCUGGAUUAUGCAGGUGGGGCCAAAGAAACCACAAGGCUCCUUCCAGCGGGACACAGGAGAGCCGGUGAGAACAGGGGGCACAACAAGAGCAGAGGUGCGGGGUGUUUGGCACUGCGGCGCUGCCGGCCCUGCAGACCGGGAUGAGGUCGGGAGUCCAGGAAGGCAGGCAGCCAGUAGAAGCCGGGAAAGGCAAGAACAUGAUUCUCUCUGAGAGCCUCCUGAAGGAAGGCAGCCAUGCUGACACCUUGAUUUGAGGACUCCUGACCUCCAGAGCUGUGAGAUAAUCAAUCUGUGUUGUUUGGAGGCACCAUGUUUGUGGUAAUGUGUUCCAGCAGCAACAGGAAACAGAUAGAAGGGCACCAGCUGCGCCCUCUGUGAACAAGGCAGCUUGGCCACAUUGUGCUUCCUCCACCAGCAGCCAAGUUCAAGCCAGCGGGGCCUGGAGUUGUUCUGACUGACUACGUGGACUUUCUUUGGGAAUCUUGACCCCUGGCUGUGCUUUUUCCUUCCUGGAAGGAGGUGUUGCUUUGUCUUUGGUGGCACUAGAGGGCUGGCCUGUGACGAGGUCAGGGAGGAAGGAGUGGGGCUUUGCAGGGCAGACCUUCUUGGGGGUUGCUGGGCCCUUGGGCUGGCCCUUGACUUGAGACUAGUUCCCUAAAAGCCGAAACUGCCCUCUGGCUCCCGUGCAGAACUGAGGCCCUCGCCCCAGCCUCCUCUCCUCAGCAUGGCCUGGGCUGAGGGUGUCUCCAUGAGGGCUCUGCUCUCCAUGUGGCCCGGUUCUCUCUUGUGUUCCCAGCACUGAUGCAGUGACUUACAUGGAGCAGGUGCUCAAGAAUUGUGUAUAUGAAUGAUGCAGUGACACACACACAGAGACACAGACAGCUCAGCAAAUCACAUGGUUAUCUCUAUACCUGUACACACACUUAGGCACUGUAUACAAGUGCACACACACCCCGAUAGGAAUGUGCACACACACACAGAUGUGCACACACAUGUGCUGUUGAGCCCUUGUUCUGGAGGAAGAGGAUACUCUGUCCCCCUUAGAGAGUUGCAAUGCUGGCUAGCUAACAGGGCCUUGGAAGUUAUUAUGAAUCCACAGGCACUGGGGGCUUCCCUGUGGGGCCCAGCAGCUGAGGGGGACCAGGCAGGAAGGACGGGCAGAUCUCCCAUUGAUAGUUGGUGGGUAGCCAGAUGUUGGCUGCCGUUGGUGGGUACACACACCUGCACGCAAUGGGAUCUGGAGCUGGGCAUGGGGAGGGGACAGGGCCCCCUGCACAGAUGUAUGCAUCCACCUCCCUCCAAGUGGAGAUGAGCCUCUGAAGGUUAGACCCCACAUCACAACCCACAUGGGAUCCUGGAGGAGGCCCAACUUCAGGGCAAUUAUGGAAACGAGGAAGUGCAAGGUAGAAAUUCCCACUGGUAAAGAGACAGGAGAGGGAUGGUACCGAGCAGAAAAGAGGCCUGCUAUGGAGUUGGAAAGACAGGGUUUGGGUCCAUGUCCCAGCUAUGUGACCUGGGCUGGGUCAUGAGUGUCAGCUUCAUCAUCUCUGAAUUGGGCCAGUGAAGGCACCAAGUGGUCAGGGCUGGAGGGAGGACUGGAGGAGAAAAUGAUAGUCAGGGGCUCAGUUUGUUGCCGGAGAACUCCUAAAGGGUAGCUUAAGAAAAUGGAGGUACUCAGUCCAAAGUCUACUCAACCCAUCCUAGACUGGAAUAACCAGGGAGGCGGGGAGGGGUCCUCUCCAGCUACCUCCCAUCAGUCAGUCCCACGGUCUAGAAUCCUGCUCUGGGUGGGCUGAUUCCUGGGAGGGGUACGACCCAUGCUGACAUGGUACUGGCUUGCUGUGUGACCUUGAGUAAUUGCUUUGCCUCUCUGAACCCCAGCUGCUUCAUUCUCUUCAGCUUGGAGAGACCUGAGGCUCAAAUGAGACUGUGCAUCUGAAAGUCUUAGGAGAAGUGAGGCAUCCUCACUUAGCUGGGAGCAUCUCUGGUCAUCCUUGGACAUUCAUAUUGAUGAUACUCAAGCUGACCCUUGAGUCUCUGACCACUGUCCUCCUUCCACCUCCUGCCACACUAGGCUCAUGGGUGUUCACUGAGGCUGUUGACAGGCUCCAACAGCACCAGCUGGGCCUCUGCAGGCCUUUCAAAUUCAGGAAAAGACCUGGGUAAAGUCCCCAGCAAGCAUGUCUCCCAUGGCCUAUAUGCCCUGGGUAUUGAGAUGGAAGGAGCCCCCAGAUGCUUGGAGGGCAUCCUGGUUUCUGCCCUGCUGUGCGGUCCUUCCUGGAGGUAGAAGCCUGGGGAAGCCCAGUUUCAUCAGGAAGCACAAGUCCUACGGGUGAUGCAGGACCUGACCAAGUCCACGUCCCCGUUCUCUCACCUGCUGGCCGGGAGCUCCCAUGGGGCAGGGCCCAGAUAUAUUUCACCUGGUCCUGGGCACUCAGCACGGGCUAAUAGGCUAGGGAUGCUGACAUGGAGGGUAGGUUGGGGCUGUGAGGUCCCAAGUCACUGGCUCAGACUCCACAGCCGUGCGCAACUCCUUACCCCCCCUUGCUAAGGGAGGAGGCCCGGCCCCAUCAGGGCCUGGUCUCCUGCCAAGUCCACACUGUGCAGGGUGAGUGUGGGGUGGCCAUGGUCUUGAGCCACCACUGCGGCUGUCCCACCUGGGGCACCAGUGCUGGGUCAGUGGGCAGCCUUGUUUCCAAGCCCGCCACACCCUCCCCUGACUCAUUCCGAGACAGCAUUGCCACGAGGGUUUCUGGCCUCUGAAUUUACCUUUGGUUUGGUUUUUGCUCGGGCAGCUCAGAGCAGUUUUGUUUUUAAGUGCAAACCCACAGAACUGCUUUCCCCUUUCUCUGAUCCCCCAAAACAAACAAAGGAUGUUGGUCUGCAUUUUGGUUUGUUUUGAAGCUGAGGGAAAUGGGUCACCUCGGGAGCUUCGAGGGUGGCCAGGCGGGUCAGGGAGUGUGAGGGUGUCUGGGGAGGGGUGGCUGGUGGCUGGGGUGGCACCUCACUCCCUCAGAGGGCAGGUCGGCCAGCCUGCCCUGCGUGGGUCAUCAGCCAUAGGGAUACUUGGAGCUGGGGACUCCUCAUGGGGCCAGGGAAGGGCCCCACAUUGAAGGCAGCAGGCCUGGGUCAGAGGUGUGGCUCUGGGUGAUACUAGGCAAGAACUGCCCCUCUGUGAACUUAGGUUUCCUCCCUGGUGAAAUGAGGGAUUAGGCUCUGUUCCACUCUGUGUCUCCCACUCUCAGUGGGGGGCAAGGGAGUUAUCCCCCAUCCAGAGCCACUCACGGCAUUGACUUCUGGGGUCCAGCUGAGCAGUCAGUCCUGGGCCCAUUAGAAAGUGUGUCAUAUCCUGCUGGGACCUUAUAUCCUGCUGGGACCUUGGCCGUCAGGCCUGUCUCCUCCAGCCCCAGCUCCCCUCCUCCAUCUUCCUGCUGGUGUGGUAGAGGCUCCCACAUAGCCUGGGGCUAUAAUCCACGGAUGUGCCCCAUUGGGCCUGUGACCCCUCCUGUAAGGUAUGCAGGUACCUGAAGCAGAAAAGGUAGUUCAAGGAAUUUUCAGUCUAUAGGCAGGAAGACCUCUUUUCUGCUACUUCCCAAGGAAAGAAGUCACCUGAGCAAGGCGAGCUCCAUCGUGCCCAGAGCCUGCAGGUGGCCAGAGACGUUGAGAAGGAGGCCCUGGGCUGGCCAAGUCCUUGAACCACCAAAGGAAGGGGCCAGGAGUGAUUCCCCUUGAGUGGGUCCAGUGGCAGCGAGAUGAGCAAAGUGCACAUGUUUAUUCUAGAAUAAAUGAACUGGAUCCCAAAUAUUUUAAAUUUCUUUAUUAAAGUCCAUCUGUUUGGAUAACUCUUAAUCUUUUGUAUUCUUAAUCUUUCAGGUGAAAGCUAUAGACUCUCUUCUUGGGGAAAAAAUUGCACACACAGAAUUUUGGGCCAGAUUUGAAGGGUUUCAUAACACUCCAUGUUGCAUUCUUGGAAAGUUAAGGUAAUUCAGGUACAAAUGCCUUCUUAGAAUCUCCUCUUUCUUGUUCAGGGAGUAGGCACUACUGAGUAACUGGGGUUUUCUUCAAGGGCAUUUCGAGAUGGGUACCACCACUUAUUUUAAGGCAUGAGUGUUGCCCUCUUAGAGAUUACUCUUGGUUGCCAAAGGGAAAGGUAGCAUUCUUGUUACCUUGCCUGGGAACUAAGCCCCCUCCUCCCCCGGGCCUUUGGAGAGGCCUAUUUUGGUGUCCCUAGAGCUCCUGCACCCAGAAGGGGUGUGCUGACACCCCUUGUUUUCUUGGUUGACCAGAUCACAGGUGUGGGGAAAUUUGCUCCGUUUGUGAGUGAGAGAGGUUCUGUUUCUGGGAUCCCCUGCCGCCUAUUAAGACCCAGGCGGCCUCCAGCCAAGGGCAGCCUGGAAAUCUGGGGGAAACGCCCCUAGGCAGACAUCCCACACUCUUAGGAUGAAAAAACCUGCUAGAGGCCACAGGCUAGUGUCUGCACCCUUAAUUUUAAGGAUUUGGUCUCCUCCCAGCGACUCAGCAGGUUGAGAACCGCCCAUCGCGCCUUUGCAUUAGCUUAUAGCGCCAUCUGGUGGCCAAUUCUCUAGCAGCAACCAGGUCUGCAUUUGGCUGUAGAAGGUGGUCAGCCGCGGCUGCGCGGAAGAGUCACCAGAGGGCGCUUUUGGAAGUACUGCCUUCGGCGGGGGGGCCAUCCCAGAGCAAUUAAAUAGUCGUCUCUAGGGGUGGGCGGGCACCCCUUGUUUUCUUGGUUGACCAGAUCACAGGUGUGGGGGAGAGGUGCUGUUUCUGGGAUCCCCUGCACCCUACUAAGGCCCAGGCGGGCUCCAGCCAAGAGCAGCCUGGAAAUCUGGGGGAAACGCCCCUAGGCAGACAUCCCACACUCUUAGGAUGAAAAAACCUUCUAGAGGCCAGAGGCUAGCGUCUGCACCCUUAAUUUCAAGGACUGUCUCCUCCAAGCGACAGCAGAGUUUGAGAACAGCCCAUAGCGCCUUUGCAUUAGCUUCUAGCGCCGUCUGGUGGCCAAUUCUCUAGCAGCAACCAGGUCUGCAUUUGGCUGUAGAAGGUGGUCAGCCGCGGCUGCGCGGAAGUCACCAGAGGGCGCUUUUGGAAGUACUGCCUUCGGCGGGGGCCCAUCCCAGAGCAAUUAAAUCGUCGUCUCUUGGAGUGGGCGGGCACCCGGGUGUGCAGAACUCUCCAGAUGAUACCAAUGUGAAGCCAGGGCUGCGAAUCACUGCAGCACCAAAAGGAAUGAUGAUCCCUCCUCCUCAGACUCCCUCUGAUUUGGGGCUUGGUCCUCAAGGGUUUGCUUCAGGACGGGGACCCUACUUGCUCCUCCUGAGUGCUCCCAUCUCAGCAGGGACACACCAGCCCCUCGUUACCCAGCCAGAAGCAUCACCUCCGUCACUGAGCCCUACAGCUGUGGUUACCUGACAAAGACAGAUUAAGAAAUCAUGUUGAGAAAGUCCUGGCCACAGCAGUCAGACAAGAAAAAGAAAUAAAAGGAAUCCAAAUUGGAAAGGAAGAAGUAAAACUGUCGCUAUUUGCAGAUGACAUGAUACUGCAUAUAGGAAAUUCUCAAGAUGCCACCAAAAAACUACAACUCAUCAGUGAAUGUGGUAAGGUUGCCUGAUAUAAGAUUAACAUACAGAAAUCUGUUGCAUUUCUAUAUACUAACGAGGAACUAUCAGAGAGACACCAAGAAGAAUACAAUACAUAGGACUAACUCUAACUAAGGAGGUGAAAGGCCUGUGCUCAGAAAACUAUAAGACGCUGAUAAAAGAAAUGGAAGACAACAUAUUUUGACACUGGUCACCCAUUCCAGUAUUAAAAACAAAAGAAAAAUCUUUUCUUCCCUGGAUGUUGUACAUUGUUCUGCUUGAAGGGAGGAAAGGAACUUAGAACCUGGAAGAAAACCUAAUCCAAACUGGACUAAGUAAAAAGGGAGUUUUUCUUUCAAGAUAGCAAGAAAGCACAGGGAUUAGUCAGAGACAGGGCCCUAUCCCAGAACAAGAUGUCCUCAGGACCUGGUUUCUGUCUCUGUUUUGUGAGCUGGCUUCAUUUUUAGGGAAAGUCUCUAUUUCAGUAGCCCCAGGCAGUCUGACAGGAUCUCACUGGUCCACCGCUGUAGCCAGGGAGUGCAGUGCUCUGAUUGGUCAGCUCUGCCAGAGGGUCACCCCAAGUAUGCCCUGAAGUCAGGGAUGAAGUCAGCUCCAUGAAAGCUUGUGGACUGAGAGGAGAAAGAAAAAGGUCAUUUCCCUAAAGGAAAACUGUUAGACUUGACCUGGAUUUCUUAGUUUGAAUUUUCAAGAGUGGACCUGAUUGGCUGGUCUUGGGUCAGGUGCCCACCCCCAACUCAAUCAGCUGUGGCAGAUGGAGUGGAGGCUGGGCUGGCUGUGGGGCUAGUGGUAGUGUGGUUAGCCUGGUAGCACAGGCUGCCUUUGCUCAGCAUUUCCCUCAGUGUUGUGGUGGGGAGGGGUCCACACUAGGGCCUGAGGGUGUCUGUGUCCUACCUGAUUCCUUCAGUUUUCUGAGUGCUUACUUGUAUGUGUUAAACUCACAACAGCCCUAUGAAGUUGAAGCUGAGAGGUUAGGCCUGUUGCCCAGGGUCACACAGCCAGUAAGUGACUGAAAGGGCACUCAGGUAAUUCAUCUGAAAGUGGCACCUAGGGGAGCCCCAGAAGGGACCUGGAGCAGGUGGGGCAUGGGGAACUCUCCCCAGGCUGAAGGUCCUGAAAGGGGGGUUGACAGAGAG